rnacentral:rRNA from 1 species
UGGGGAAUAUUGCGCAAUGGGGGGAACCCUGACGCAGCCAUGCCGCGUGAAUGAAGAAGGCCUNAGGGUUGUAAAGUUCUUUCGGUAUUGAGGAAGGUUGAUGUGUUAAUAGCACAUCAAAUUGACGUUAAAUACAGAAGAAGCACCGGCUANCUCCGUGCCAGCAGCCGCGGUAAUACGGAGGGUGCGAGCGUUAAUCGGAAUAACUGGGCGUAAAGGGCACGCAGGCGGUUAUUUAAGUGAGGUGUGAAAGCCCCGGGCUUAACCUGGGAAUUGCAUUUCAGACUGGGUAACUAGAGUACUUUAGGGAGGGGUAGAAUUCCACGUGUAGCGGUGAAAUGCGUAGAGAUGUGGAGGAAUACCGAAGGCGAAGGCAGCCCCUUGGGAAUGUACUGACGCUCAUGUGCGAAAGCGUGGGGAGCAAACAGGAUUAGAUACCCUGGUAGUCCACGCUGUAAACGCUGUCGAUUUGGGGGUUGGGGUUUAACUCUGGCGCCCGUAGCUAACGUGAUAAAUCGACCGCCUGGGGAGUACGGCCGCAAGGUUA